UUAAAUAUUAAAACGCUACCCGCUUACAGUGUGACCUAUGACUUUAUCUCACGUCGUUCUUUACUUUACGUAACAAGGUGAAGGCCAAGAGGUUAUAGCUCUGUUAAAUGUUAAGCAUUUUGCGAAAACCGCUACCGCUUGUAUGAUCACGCAAUCUCAUGUUUAAUCAGUAAACUUUAGAGGCGGUCACCCAUCCUAAGCGUGGCCGUUUGAAACCUGACUUCAUGACUCAAGCCAGUUUGUGACUAGCUACCAAAGGUGUAGACAACUUGGAACGUCUGAUGGUCACUGGAAAAGUAGAAGGAAAACGUCCUAGAGGCCGGAGCCCCAAACGUUGGUCCGACCAGAUGUCCGAGCAAACCAGGGGACCGCUUAGCGCUGCACUACACCAGGCAACUGACCGGAACCGAUGGAGGCUGACAGUCGACAAGCUAAAACGGAGUCACGAUCCUCAGCAAUGAGGGAACGAUGGAGAAGAAGAAGCAUGGUCUCAACAAGUGCGCCAUUUGGAUCCAAAGGCUUUAUUUCAGAGUUUUUAACUUUUACAGAUAUUUGAUAGCAAGCACUAACACAUGCACCUAGCUUUUAGAUUUAUGUUCGUUUAAUUUUAAGAAUUAAGAAAGCAAUUUUCGUCGACAGCUGUACACUAUUCUUCCCAAUGAACUGCAAUACUGCGCUGCAACGACAUAGCUACAUACUGUAAGAAUUAAAAAAAAACGAAGAUGCCGAAAUAUCUGCGAAUAAAUAUGUUAUUUUUUUC